GGGGGGCGGCGGCUUACCAUGCAAGUCGAGCGGGGGAAGGUAGCUUGCUACUGGACCUAGCGGCGGACGGGUGAGUAAUGCUUAGGAAUCUGCCUAUUAGUGGGGGACAACAUCUCGAAAGGGAUGCUAAUACCGCAUACGUCCUACGGGAGAAAGCAGGGGAUCUUCGGACCUUGCGCUAAUAGAUGAGCCUAAGUCGGAUUAGCUAGUUGGUGGGGUAAAGGCCUACCAAGGCGACGAUCUGUAGCGGGUCUGAGAGGAUGAUCCGCCACACUGGGACUGAGACACGGCCCAGACUCCUACGGGAGGCAGCAGUGGGGAAUAUUGGACAAUGGGGGGAACCCUGAUCCAGCCAUGCCGCGUGUGUGAAGAAGGCCUUAUGGUUGUAAAGCACUUUAAGCGAGGAGGAGGCUACUCUAGUUAAUACCUAGGGAUAGUGGACGUUACUCGCAGAAUAAGCACCGGCUAACUCUGUGCCAGCAGCCGCGGUAAUACAGAGGGUGCGAGCGUUAAUCGGAUUUACUGGGCGUAAAGCGUGCGUAGGCGGCUUAUUAAGUCGGAUGUGAAAUCCCCGAGCUUAACUUGGGAAUUGCAUUCGAUACUGGUGAGCUAGAGUAUGGGAGAGGAUGGUAGAAUUCCAGGUGUAGCGGUGAAAUGCGUAGAGAUCUGGAGGAAUACCGAUGGCGAAGGCAGCCAUCUGGCCUAAUACUGACGCUGAGGUACGAAAGCAUGGGGAGCAAACAGGAUUAGAUACCCUGGUAGUCCAUGCCGUAAACGAUGUCUACUAGCCGUUGGGGCCUUUGAGGCUUUAGUGGCGCAGCUAACGCGAUAAGUAGACCGCCUGGGGAGUACGGUCGCAAGACUAAAACUCAAAUGAAUUGACGGGGGCCCGCACAGCGGUGGAGCAUGUGGUUAAUUCGAUGCACGCGAAAACCUUACUGGCUUGACUACUAGAACUUUCCAAGAUGAUGGUGCUUCGGAUCUAG
rnacentral:rRNA from 1 species